UCCAGACUCCUACGGGAGGCAGCAGUGGGGAAUAUUGCACAAUGGGGGGAACCUUGAUGCAGCAACGCCGCGUGGGUGAAGAAGUACUCCGGUAUGUAAAGCCCUGUCAGCAGGGAAGAAAAUGACGGUACCUGACCAAGAAGCCACGGCUAACUACGUGCCAGCAGCCGCGGUAAUACGUAGGGGGCAAGCGUUAUCCGGAUUUACUGGGUGUAAAGGGAGCGUAGACGGCCAGACAAGUCUGAAGUGAAAAUCCAGCGCUUAACGUUGGAAGUGCUUUGGAAACUGCCGGGCUGGAGUGCAGGAGGGGCAGGCGGAAUUCCUAGUGUAGCGGCGAAAUGCGUAGAUAUUAGGAGGAACACCAGUGGCGAAGGCGGCCUGCUGGACUGCAACUGACGUUGAGGCUCGAAGGCGUGGGGAGCAAACAGGAUUAGAUACCCCAGUACCC
rnacentral:rRNA from 1 species